CAAUAGCGUAUAUUAAAGUUGUUGCAGUUAAAAAGCUCGUAGUUGGAUUUCUGGUGGGAGCGAUCGGUCUGGCGCUUAGCGCGAGUACUUGCAUCGUCUCCGGCCACCCUUGGGGAGAGUCUGUCUGGCAUUAGGUUGUCGGGCAGAGGAUCCUCAUCGUUUACUGUGAUAAAAUUAGAGUGUUCAAAGCAGGCUUAUGCCGUUGAAUAUAUUAGCAUGGAAUAAUAAGAUAGGACUUUGGUACUAUUUUGUUGGUUUGCGCACCAAAGUAAUGAUUAAUAGGGACAGUUGGGGGUAUUCGUAUUCCGUUGUCAGAGGUGAAAUUCUUGGAUUUACGGAAGACGAACUACUGCGAAAGCAUUUACCAAGGAUGUUUUCAUUAA
rnacentral:rRNA from 1 species